UAUAUUUUGGUGUAAAAGCACGUAGAAAUUUGAAUUCUGAAGAAAUAGUUUUCUAUUAAUUAUAA
rnacentral:tRNA from 1 species